rnacentral:rRNA from 1 species
AGAGUUUGAUCCUGGCUCAGGACGAACGCUGGCGGCGUGCUUAACACAUGCAAGUCGAACGGAAAGGCCCUUUCGGGGGUACUCGAGUGGCGAACGGGUGAGUAACACGUGGGUGAUCUGCCCCGCACUUCGGGAUAAGCUUGGGAAACUGGGUCUAAUACCGGAUAGGACCGCGGCCUGCAUGGGUUGUGGUGGAAAGU